rnacentral:rRNA from 1 species
UUGGGCGUAAAGCGAGCGCAGGCGGUUGCUUAGGUCUGAUGUGAAAGCCUUCGGCUUAACCGAAGAAGUGCAUCGGAAACCGGGCGACUUGAGUGCAGAAGAGGACAGUGGAACUCCAUGUGUAGCGGUGGAAUGCGUAGAUAUAUGGAAGAACACCAGUGGCGAAGGCGGCUGUCUGGUCUGCAACUGACGCUGAGGCUCGAAAGCAUGGGUAGCGAACAGGAUUAGAUACCCUGGUAGUCCAUGCCGUAAACGAUGAGUGCUAGGUGUUGGAGGGUUUCCGCCCUUCAGUGCCGGAGCUAACGCAUUAAGCACUCCGCCUGGGGAGUACGACCGCAAGGUUGAAACUCAAAGGAAUUGACGGGGGCCCGCACAAGCGGUGGAUUAUGUGGUUUAAUUCGAUGAUACGCGAGGAACCUUACCAAGACUUAAAUGGGAAUUGACAGCUGUAGAAAUACGGUUUUCUUCGGACAAUUUUCAAGGUGCUGCAUGGUUGUCGUCAGCUCGUGCCGUGAGGUGUUAGGUUAAGUCCUGCAACGAGCGCAACCCCUGUCACUAGUUGCCAUCAUUAAGUUGGGGACUCUAGUGAGACUGCCUACGCAAGUAGAGAGGAAGGUGGGGAUGACGUCAAAUCAUCACGGCCCUUACGUCUUGGGCCACACACGUAAUACAAUGGACGGUACAACGAGUCGCAAGCUCGCGAGAGUAAGCUAAUCUCUUAAAGCCGUUCUCAGUUCGGACUGUAGGCUGCAACUCGCCUACACGAAGUCGGAAU